rnacentral:misc_RNA from 1 species
GAAAUGCGAUAAGUAAUGUGAAUUGCAGAAUUCAGUGAAUCAUCGAAUCUUUGAACGCACAUUGCGCCCAUUAGUAUUCUAGUGGGCAUGCCUGUUCGAGCGUCAUUUCAACCCCUAAGCACAGCUUAUUGUUGGGCGUCUACGUCUGUAGUGCCUCAAAGACAUUGGCGGAGCGGCAGCAGUCCUCUGAGCGUAGUAAUUCUUUAUCUCGCUUCUGUUAGGCGCUGCCCCCCCGGCCGUAAAACCCCCAAUUUUUUCUGGUUGACCUCGGAUCAGGUAGGAAUCCCCGCUGAACUUAAGC